GACAAACGCUGGCGGCAUGCCUAACACAUGCAAGUCGAACGGACAGAACAGGGAAGCUUUUCGGAGUGGAACUGGAAAGUUAGUGGCGGAUGGGUGAGUAACGCGUGGACAACCUACCUUGUAAAGGGGAAUAACCUCGAGAAAUCGAAGCUAAUACCCCAUAAUAACAUUGCUUCGCAUGAAGUAAGGAGGAAAGGCGGCCUUAGCGCUGUCGAUACAAGAUGGGUCCGCGUCUGAUUAGCUAGUUGGUGAGGUAAAGGCUCACCAAGGCGACGAUCAGUAGCCGGCCUGAGAGGGUGAACGGCCACAUUGGGACUGAGACACGGCCCAAACUCCUACGGGAGGCAGCAGUGGGGAAUCUUCCGCAAUGGGCGAAAGCCUGACGGAGCAAUGCCGCGUGAGUGAAGAAGGCCUUCGGGUUGUAAAACUCUGUCCUUAUCGAAGAGAGAGUGUUGUAGUAACUGACAAUACUAGGACGGUAGAUGAGGAGGAAGCCCCGGCUAACUAUGUG
rnacentral:rRNA from 1 species